GACGAGCGCUGGCGGCGUGCCUAAUACAUGCAAGUUGAGCGAUGAAGAUUGGUGCUUGCACCAAUUUGAAGAGCAGCGAACGGGUGAGUAACGCGUGGGGAAUCUGCCUUUGAGCGGGGGACAACAUUUGGAAACGAAUGCUAAUACCGCAUAACAACUUUAAACAUAAGUUUUAAGUUUGAAAGAUGCAAUUGCAUCACUCAAAGAUGAUCCCGCGUUGUAUUAGCUAGUUGGUGAGGUAAAGGCUCACCAAGGCGAUGAUACAUAGCCGACCUGAGAGGGUGAUCGGCCACAUUGGGACUGAGACACGGCCCAAACUCCUACGGGAGGCAGCAGUAGGGAAUCUUCGGCAAUGGACGAAAGUCUGGCCGAGCAACGCCGCGUGAGUGAAGAAGGUUUUCGGAUCGUAAAACUCUGUUGGUAGAGAAGAACGUUGGUGAGAGUGGAAAGCUCAUCAAGUGACGGUAACUACCCAGAAAGGGACGGCUAACUACGUG
rnacentral:rRNA from 1 species